rnacentral:tRNA from 1 species
GACUUAUAGCUCAGUGGUAGAGCAUCGGCACGGUACGUCGAAGAUUAAGGGUUCAAAUCCUGAAAAAGUCA